GACGAACGCUGGCGGCGUGCUUAACACAUGCAAGUCGAACGGUAAGGCCCUUCGGGGUACACGAGUGGCGAACGGGUGAGUAGCACGUGGGUGAUCUGCCCUGCACUUCGGGAUAAGCCUGGGAAACUGGGUCUAAUACCGGAUAGGACCACUGCCUGCAUGGGUGGUGGUGGAAAGCUUUUGCGGUGUGGGAUGGGCCCGCGGCCUAUCAGCUUGUUGGUGGGGUGAUGGCCUACCAAGGCGACGACGGGUAGCCGGCCUGAGAGGGUGACCGGCCACACUGGGACUGAGAUACGGCCCAGACUCCUACGGGAGGCAGCAGUGGGGAAUAUUGUACAAUGGGCGCAAGCCUGAUGCAGCGACGCCGCGUGAGGGAUGACGGCAUUCGGGUUGUAAACCUCUUUCAGCACCGACGAAGCGCAAGUGACGGUAGGUGCAGAAGAAGGACCGGCCAACUACGUGCCAGCAGCCGCAGUAA
rnacentral:rRNA from 1 species